AACGAACGCUGGCGGCAGGCUUAACACAUGCAAGUCGAACGGGCGCGAGCAAUCGCGUCAGUGGCAGACGGGUGAGUAACACGUGGGAACCUUCCUAGGGGUACGGAACAACUCAGGGAAACUUGAGCUAAUACCGUAUACGUCCGUAAGGAGAAAGAUUCAUCGCCCCUAGACGGGCCCGCGUCGGAUUAGCUAGUUGGUGGGGUAACGGCCUACCAAGGCGACGAUCCGUAGCUGAUCUGAGAGGAUGAUCAGCCACACUGGGACUGAGACACGGCCCAGACUCCUACGGGAGGCAGCAGUGGGGAAUCUUGGACAAUGGGCGCAAGCCUGAUCCAGCCAUGCCGCGUGAGUGAAGAAGGCCUUAGGGUUGUAAAGCUCUUUUACCAGGGACGAUAAUGACGGUACCUGGAGAAUAAGCCCCG
rnacentral:rRNA from 1 species